CCUACGGGAGGCAGCAGUGAGGAAUAUUGGUCAAUGCGCGAGAGCCUGAACCAGCCAAGUCGCGUGAGGGAGUACUGCCCUAUGGGUUGUAAACCUCUUUUGUCGGGGAGCAAAAGCAGGACGUUUCCGGCUGUGAGAGUACCCGAAGAAAAAGCAUCGGCUAACUCCGUCCCAGCAGCCGCGGUAAUACGGAGGAUGCGAGCGUUUUCCGGAUUUAUUGGGUUUAAAGGGUGCGCAGGCGGAUUGUUAGGUCAUAGGUAAAAUCGUGAGGCUAAAUCCCAUCAAGCCAGUGAUACUGGGGAUCUAGAGUGUGAGAGAGGUAUGCGGAAUGCGUGGUGUAGCGGUGAAAUGCAUAGAUAUCACGCAGAACCCCGAUUGCGAAGGCAGCAUACUGGUGCACAACUGACGCUGAGGCGCGAAAGCGUGGGUAGCGAACAGGAUUAGAUACCCGAGUAGUC
rnacentral:rRNA from 1 species